AGACCCGAAACCCGGUGAUCUAGCCAUGGGCAGGUUGAAGGUUGGGUAACACUAACUGGAGGACCGAACCGACUAAUGUUGAAAAAUUAGCGGAUGACCUGUGGCUGGGGGUGAAAGGCCAAUCAAACCGGGAGAUAGCUGGUUCUCCCCGAAAGCUAUUUAGGUAGCGCCUCGUGAAUUCAUCUCCGGGGGUAGAGCACUGUUUCGGCUAGGGGGCCAUCCCGGCUUACCAACCCGAUGCAAACUGCGAAUACCGGAGAAUGUUAUCACGGGAGACACACGGCGGGUGCUAACGUCCGUCGUGAAGAGGGAAACAACCCAGACCGCCAGCUAAGGUCCCAAAGUCAUGGUUAAGUGGGAAACGAUGUGGGAAGGCCCAGACAGCCAGGAUGUUGGCUUAGAAGCAGCCAUCAUUUAAAGAAAGCGUAAUAGCUCACUGGUCGAGUCGGCCUGCGCGGAAGAUGUAACGGGGCUAAACCAUGCACCGAAGCUGCGGCAGCGACGCUGAUGCGUUGUUGGGUAGGGGAGCGUUCUGUAAGCCUGCGAAGGUGGCCUGUGAGGGUUGCUGGAGGUAUCAGAAGUGCGAAUGCUGACAUAAGUAACGAUAAAGCGGGUGAAAAGCCCGCUCGCCGGAAGACCAAGGGUUCCUGUCCAACGUUAAUCGGGGCAGGGUGAGUCGACCCCUAAGGCGAGGCCGAAAGGCGUAGUCGAUGGGAAACGGGUUAAUAUUCCCGUACUUGGUGUUACUGCGAAGGGGGGACGGAGAAGGCUAUGUUGGCCGGGCGACGGUUGUCCCGGUUUAAGCGUGUAGGUGUGUGUUCCAGGUAAAUCCGGUUCACUUUAACACUGAGGCGUGAUGACGAGGCACUACGGUGCUGAAGCAACAAAUGCCCUGCUUCCAGGAAAAGCCUCUAAGCAUCAGGUAACAUCAAAUCGUACCCCAAACCGACACAGGUGGUCAGGUAGAGAAUACCAAGGCGCUUGAGAGAACUCGGGUGAAGGAACUAGGCAAAAUGGUGCCGUAACUUCGGGAGAAGGCACGCUGACAUGUAGGUGAAGUGAUUUACUCAUGGAGCUGAAGUCAGUCGAAGAUACCAGCUGGCUGCAACUGUUUAUUAAAAACACAGCACUGUGCAAACACGAAAGUGGACGUAUACGGUGUGACGCCUGCCCGGUGCCGGAAGGUUAAUUGAUGGGGUCAGCGCAAGCGAAGCUCCUGAUCGAAGCCCCGGUAAACGGCGGCCGUAACUAUAACGGUCCUAAGGUAGCGAAAUUCCUUGUCGGGUAAGUUCCGACCUGCACGAAUGGCGUAAUGAUGGCCAGGCUGUCUCCACCCGAGACUCAGUGAAAUUGAACUCGCUGUGAAGAUGCAGUGUACCCGCGGCAAGACGGAAAGACCCCGUGAACCUUUACUAUAGCUUGACACUGAACAUUGAGCCUUGAUGUGUAGGAUAGGUGGGAGGCUUUGAAGUGUGGACGCCAGUCUGCAUGGAGCCGGCCUUGAAAUACCACCCUUUAAUGUUUGAUGUUCUAACGUGGACCCGUGAUCCGGGUUGCGGACAGUGUCUGGUGGGUAGUUUGACUGGGGCGGUCUCCUCCUAAAGAGUAACGGAGGAGCACGAAGGUUGGCUAAUCCUGGUCGGACAUCAGGAGGUUAGUGCAAUGGCAUAAGCCAGCUUGACUGCGAGCGUGACGGCGCGAGCAGGUGCGAAAGCAGGUCAUAGUGAUCCGGUGGUUCUGAAUGGAAGGGCCAUCGCUCAACGGAUAAAAGGUACUCCGGGGAUAACAGGCUGAUACCGCCCAAGAGUUCAUAUCGACGGCGGUGUUUGGCACCUCGAUGUCGGCUCAUCACAUCCUGGGGCUGAAGUAGGUCCCAAGGGUAUGGCUGUUCGCCAUUUAAAGUGGUACGCGAGCUGGGUUUAGAACGUCGUGAGACAGUUCGGUCCCUAUCUGCCGUGGGCGCUGGAGAACUGAGGGGGGCUGCUCCUAGUACGAGAGGACCGGAGUGGACGCAUCACUGGUGUUCGGGUUGUCAUGCCAAUGGCACUGCCCGGUAGCUAAAUGCGGAAGAGAUAAGUGCUGAAAGCAUCUAAGCACGAAACUUGCCCCGAGAUGAGUUCUCCCUGAGACUUAGAGUCUCCUGAAGGAACGUUGAAGACGACGACGUUGAUAGGCCGGGUGUGUAAGCGCAGCGAUGCGUUGAGCUAACCGGUACUAAUGAACCGUGAGGCUUAACCUUACA
rnacentral:rRNA from 1 species